GGUACAUGUGAUGUCUUAUAGCGAUCAAAGUAUGAGCCCUGUGAUUCCAGCUCUAUGUACUGAUGUACC